rnacentral:tRNA from 1 species
AAGGAGUUAGUUAAUUAAUAACACUGGUAUGUCAAGCCAGAAUAGUUGAUAUCCGCAACACCCCUUU